UACGAAGGGGGCUAGCGUUGCUCGGAAUUACUGGGCGUAAAGGGCUCGUAGGUGGCCAACUAAGUCGGACGUGAAAUCCCUCGGCUUAACCGGGGAACUGCAUCCGAUACUGGAUGGCUUGAGUUCGGGAGAGGGAUGCGGAAUUCCAGGUGUAGCGGUGAAAUGCGUAGAUAUCUGGAGGAACACCGGUGGCGAAGGCGGCAUCCUGGACCAACACUGACACUGAGGAGCGAAAGCCAGGGGAGCAAACGGG
rnacentral:rRNA from 1 species